AGGGGAAUAGCCUUCCGAAAGGAAGAUUAAUACCGCUUAAUAUGUUUUGAUCGCAUGAUUGAAACAUCAAAGGAUUUUCUUUGGAAAUUCCUCUUUGAUAUGGACGCGCCGCGCAUUAUCUAUUUGGGGGGGUAACGGCCCACCUGCGCAACCAUGCGUAACCGAACUGAGAGGGUGAUCGGCCACAUUGGAACUGAAACACCGUCCAGAAUCCUACGGGGGGCAACAGUGGGGAAUAUUGGGCAAUGGGGGAAACCCAGACCCAGCAACGCCGCGUGAAUGAUGAAGGCCUUCGGGUUGUAAACCUCUGUCAUCUGGGCGAUAAUGACGGUACCAUAGGAGGAAGCCACGGCUAACUACGUGCCACACCCGCGGUAAUACAUAGGUGGCAAGCUUUGUCCGGAUUUACUGGGCGUAAAGGAUGCAUACGCAGACAUUUAACUCAAAUGUGAAAUACCCGAGCUUAACUUGGGUGCUGUUUUUGAAACUGGUUGUCUAGAUGGCAAGAGGAAGUUGUGGAAUUCCUAGUGUAGCGGUGAAAUGCGUAGAAAUUACGAAGAACACCAUGGGCGAAUGCGACUUACUGGACUGUUACUGACUGCUGACGCGUGAAAGCGUGGGGAACAAACAAGAUUAUAUACCCCUGGUACUCCCCCCAUA
rnacentral:rRNA from 1 species